CCUACGGGAGGCAGCAGUGAGGAAUAUUGGUCAAUGGCCGGAAGGCUGAACCAGCCAUGCCGCGUGAAGGUCAGUGCCCUAUGGGCGUUAAACUUCUUUUGUGCGGGAGCAAUAAUGGUCACGUGUGGCCAGACGAGAGUACCGUACGAAUAAGCAUCGGCUAACUCCGUGCCAGCAGCCGCGGUAAUACGGGGGAUGCAAGCGUUUUCCGGAUUUAUUGGGUUUAAAGGGUGCGUAGUCUUGGAGGUAAGUCCGCGGGGAAAUGCCCCCGCUCAACGGGGUGAAGUGCCAUUGAUACUGCCUUGCUGGAAUGCGGAUGCCGGGGGAGGAAUGUGUGGUGUAGCGGUGAAAUGCAUAGAUAUCACACAGAACACCGAUUGCGAAGGCAUCUCACGAAUCCGCGAUUGACGCUGAUGCACGAAAGCGUGGGUAUCAAACAGGAUUAGAUACCCCAGUAGUC
rnacentral:rRNA from 1 species